UACACUCCUACGGGAGGCAGCAGUGGGGAAUUUUGGACAAUGGGCGAAAGCCUGAUCCAGCAAUGCCGCGUGAGUGAAGAAGGCCUUCGGGUUGUAAAGCUCUUUUGUCAGGGAAGAAACGGUGAAAGCUAAUAUCUUUUGCUAAUGACGGUACCUGAAGAAUAAGCACCGGCUAACUACGUGCCAGCAGCCGCGGUAAUACGUAGGGUGCAAGCGUUAAUCGGAAUUACUGGGCGUAAAGCGUGCGCAGGCGGUUUUGUAAGUCUGAUGUGAAAUCCCCGGGCUCAACCUGGGAAUUGCAUUGGAGACUGCAAGGCUAGAAUCUGGCAGAGGGGGGUAGAAUUCCACGUGUAGCAGUGAAAUGCGUAGAUAUGUGGAGGAACACCGAUGGCGAAGGCAGCCCCCUGGGUCAAGAUUGACGCUCAUGCACGAAAGCGUGGGGAGCAAACAGGAUUAGAAACCCCGGUAGUCCCAUGAU
rnacentral:rRNA from 1 species